rnacentral:tRNA from 1 species
AUUUAUAUAGUUUAAAUAAAACCUUACAUUUUCAAUGUAAAAACAAUAAAUAAAUUAUUUAUAAAUA